GCGGACGUAGCUCAGUUGGCAGAGCACAAGGUUGUGGCCCUUGGGGUCGUGGGUUCAAGCCCCAUCGUUCGCC
rfam:Desulfovibrio alkalitolerans DSM 16529 ctg11, whole genome shotgun sequence.